AAGUCGUAACAAGGUUUCCGUAGGUGAACCUGCGGAAGGAUCAUUAAAGAAUCGCCCCGUUUUUUGAAAUGGGUUCUAUUCCCAAACCGUGUAUACAUACCUUUGUUGCUUUGGCAGGCCGCCUUUUAGGCGUCGGCUCCGGCUGACUGCGCCUGCCAGAGGACCCAAACUCUUUUGUUUAGUGAUGUCUGAGUACUAUAUAAUAGUUAAAACUUUCAACAACGGAUCUCUUGGUUCUGGCAUCGAUGAAGAACGCAGCGAAAUGCGAUAAGUAAUGUGAAUUGCAGAAUUCAGUGAAUCAUCGAAUCUUUGAACGCACAUUGCGCCCCUUGGUAUUCCGAGGGGCAUGCCUGUUCGAGCGUCAUUAUGACCACUCAAGCCUCGGCUUGGUCUUGGGGUUCGCGGUUUCGCGGCCCUUAAAAUCAGUGGCGGUGCCGUCUGGCUCUAAGCGUAGUAAUUCUCUCGCUAUAGGGUCCAGGUGACCACCUGCCAUAACCCCCCAUUCUUUACGGUUGACCUCGGAUCAGGUAGGGAUACCCGCUGAACUUAA
rnacentral:rRNA from 1 species